AGUGAUGAGUAUGGCAAAGAGGUCAACCCGUUCCAUACCGAACACGGAAGUUAAGCUCUUUAGCGCCGAUGGUAGUUGGGGGCUUCCCCCUGUGAGAGUAGGACGUCGCUA
rnacentral:rRNA from 1 species